GUGCCAGCCGCCGCGGUAAUACCCGCGCCCCUAGUGGUGGUCGAUAUUAUUGCGCCUAAAGCGUCCGUAGCCGGUCUUUUAAAUCUUUGGGCAAAUCGGGCAGCUUAACUGUCCGACUUCCGAGGAGACUGGAAGACUUGGGACCGGGAGAGGUCAGAGGUACUUCUGGGGUAGGGGUAAAAUCCUGUAAUCCUGGAAGGACCACCGGUGGCGAAGGCGUCUGACUAGAACGGAUCCGACGGUGAGGGACGAAGCCCUGGGGCGCAAACGGGAUUAGAUACCCCGGUAGUCCAGGGUGUAAACGCUGCGGGCUUGGUGUUGGGGGUCCUUCGUGGGCGCCCAGUGCCGGAGAGAAGUUGUUAAGCAUGCUGCUUGGGGAGUACGGUCGCAGGGCUGAAACUCAAAGAAAUUGACGG
rnacentral:rRNA from 1 species